AUGGGCUCGAAGCAGCAGCCCGCGCUCCGGCCGACCCCCACCGACGGAGGCUGCUGCGGCGGCGAUGGCAGGGCGGCGUCCGCGAGGGAGCGAUCGAGCGUGACCAACGCGUCCUUCAGGGUCUACUACAGUCUACGCGCCGGUGCUGUGCCGUUCCUCUGGGAGUCCGCGCCCGGCACGCCAAAGAGGGGUGCGGCCACCGUCUCCCCGGAAUCGUCCCUCCCUUCUACCACAGCGACCACCGGCAGCGCUGGUGGUGCUACGCUGCUGCCUCCGCCCCCCUCGCCGUCGCCGUCGUACCAAUCGCCGUUCCAUGGAAAGGGGAGGAAGCCGUCCUGGACGCCGACGGCGGGAGGCAUUGUGAGGGCAUUGCUUGGCGUGCUUGGGCUCAGGAAGAGACACCGCCGGUCGCGCCGGCGCCCCGACGUGUCAGGUCUUUGA
rnacentral:rRNA from 1 species